UCACUGUGCAUGUAUGUAUGGGUUUCUGGGGCAUUGGUCCUGGUGCUCUCUCCACAUCCUGCAUCCCGUACCCCCUGUCUCAUGGCCCAGGCAGUGUGAAGGCGGAGAUGCUGCACAUGUACAGCCAGAAGGACCCGCUCAUCCUCUGCGUGCGCCUGGCCGUGCUGCUUGCGGUGACCCUCACUGUGCCAGUCGUGCUGUUCCCUAUCCGCCGGGCCCUGCAGCAGCUGCUUUUCCCAGGCAAGGCCUUCAGCUGGCCACGACAUGUGGCCAUAGCUCUGAUCCUGCUUGUUUUGGUCAAUGUCCUUGUCAUCUGUGUGCCAACCAUCCGGGAUAUCUUUGGAGUUAUUGGGUCCACCUCAGCCCCCAGCCUCAUCUUCAUCCUCCCCAGCAUCUUCUACCUCCGCAUCGUACCCUCUGAGGUGGAGCCUUUCUUAUCCUGGCCCAAGAUCCAGGCCCUGUGCUUUGGAGUCCUGGGAGUCCUCUUCAUGGCCGUCAGUCUAGGCUUUAUGUUUGCCAACUGGGCCACAGGCCAGAGCCGCAUGUCUGGACACUGAUCAGGCCCUGCUGGCCCAGGUCCCUGUGCGCAUGCACAUGGAGGGGUCGGGGCCGCUCCCUAGGGUCCCUCCUGCCCAGCAUGUGGAGGUGGCUGGUUCCCAUGAACGUGGUUGUCAGAGGCGGGGGACAGCAGAGGCUGUAGACUGGCCCACUUCCCUCCUCCCCAGGGAUGCCAAGCUUGGAUCAUGGCCCUAAUCCCAACCCCAACCCCAUGGGAGGAGGAGGAGGAAGAAGAGGAG
rnacentral:sRNA from 1 species